rnacentral:rRNA from 1 species
GAUGAACGCUGGCGGCGUGCCUAAUACAUGCAAGUCGAGCGAACGGACGAGAAGCUUGCUUCUCUGAUGUUAGCGGCGGACGGGUGAGUAACACGUGGAUAACCUACCUAUAAGACUGGGAUAACUUCGUGAAACCGGAGCUAAUACCGGAUAAUAUUUUGAACCGCAUGGUUCAAAAGUGAAAGACGGUCUUGCUGUCACUUAUAGAUGGAUCCGCGCUGCAUUAGCUAGUUGGUAAGGUAACGGCUUACCAAGGCAACGAUGCAUAGCCGACCUGAGAGGGGGAUCGGCCACACUGGAACUGAGACACGGUCCAGACUCCUACGGGAGGCAGCAGUAGGGAAUCUUCCGCAAUGGGCGAAAGCCUGACGUAGCAACGCCGCGUGAGUGAUGAAGGUCUUCGGAUCGUAAAACUCUGUUAUUAGGGAAGAACAUAUGUGUAAGUAACUGUGCACAUCUUGACGGUACCUAAUCAGAAAGCCACGGCUAACUACGUG